GAGCGGGUUAAUAAGGGCGUAUGGUGGAUGCCUAGGGUUUCGAAGGCGAUGAAGGACGUAGCGUGACUGCGAUAAGCGUCGGGGAGAUGUCUAGCAAUCUUUGAUCCGGCGAUGUCCGAAUGAGGCAACUCAAUUCGAGUAAUGUCGAAUUACUUUACGAGUAACUGCGUAAAGAGUAAACCUGGGGAAGUAAAACAUUUCAGUACCCAGAGGAAAAGAAAACAAAAAUACAUUCCCUAAGUAGCGGCGAGCGAAAAGGGAUCAGCCCAAACCUCGUUCUACUAUCUAGAAUUUAUUCUUUGUAGUAGGGCGUGGGGUAGUAAGAAAUAGACUUUCCGGAGCGUAUAGCUAUGUUCCAGGAAGGGAGUUUAGAAAUAUAAAAGUUGUUUAAUGGAACGGUCCUGGAAAGGCCGGCCAAAGAGGGUAAUAGCCCCGUACUUGAAAAACCUUUUAUGCUCCUUGUCUAUUAUCUUGAGUACUUCGAGAACAAGAUAAGCUCGGAGGAAGCAGGGAGGACUACUCUCCUAAGGCUAAAUACUUCGAAACACCGAUAGUGAACUAGUACCGUGAGGGAAAGGUGAAAAGAAGCCCGGUGAGGGCAGUGAAAUAGUACCUGAAACCAUAUGCCUACAAGGAGUCGAAGUGGUUAUGUCGUAAGACGAACCAUAACGGCGUGCCUAUUGAAGAAUGAGCCAACGAGUUAUUGUGCAUUGCUAGUCUAAUCCCGUUCGCGGGAGGAGGCAUAGGGAAACCGAGUGUUAACAGCGCGCGAGCAGUGUGUAAUAGACCCGAAGCCGGGUGAGCUACCCCAGAUCAGGUUGAAUGUCUCCGAAAGGAGGCAGGAGGACCGAACCGGUUGGUCGUACAACGCCAUCGGAUGAAUUUGGGGUAGGAGUGAAAAGCUAAUCGAACCCGGGAAUAGCUGGUUCUCUCCGAAAUAGCUUUUGGGCUAGCGUCCAGUUUAUCUUUGCAGGUAGAGCUACUGGAAGGUUCGUAAAGGGAGAAAUCUCGACGGACCUACCAAACUCCGAAUGGCAGAGGUUUUAGCUGGCCAGUCAGACUACGGGGGCUAAGCUCCGUCGGUCAAAAGGGCAACAGCCCGGAUCUCAAUCUAAGGCCCCUAAAUUGUGUCUAAGUGUAAGUGAGGCGGUGAGGUUUCUAUAACAGCGAGGAGGUUGGCUUAGAAGCAGCAAUCCUUGAAAGAGUGCGUAACAGCUCACUCGUCAAGAGACCUUGCGCCGCAGAUGAUCGGGACUAAGACACAUGCCGAAGGUGAGGAAUUGGUGCUUGAAUUUUGGAUUAAAUAAAAAUUGUUUGUUGGAGGUAAAAUGGAUCAUAGAGACGAUCUCGAUCUAAUCGAAAUGGAAGUAAAAAGGGGGAUUUUCUUCGAAGUUGUCUACAAGGAAAUAGCGAAGCGCGGGGUAGAUCGAAAGCAAAUUCCACCGCAUAUCCACAAAAAACUCUUCUCGGAAGUUCAAGAGGCAACGAGAAACUUGUCAAAAGAAUUGCAAUCAGCAAUCUUUGAAAUGACCAGAACAGGCGUAAUGAAAGAUUUCCCAUAGAAAGGAGAACGCGAUGGCAGAGAAACUGAAACCGUUUGAGCAGAGAGUGAAAGAUAUAUUCGAUGCGGAAUUUUUUAGCGUUAGGUGGAAUCGGGAAGGUUGGCCACUGGAAGCAGAACAUGCGCUCGGCCGCGCAUUGACGCGAAUUGCGGGAGAUUUGGAGUAUCUUUAUCAGAAGACGCCAGGCGCAAAGAAAGAGCCGUCAGUAGAUGAGAUGAUAGAAGCUCUACGUCGAGAUCUGCUGGAUGAAAAAUUCCAAACCGAUAACGUCCGUUGGGUAAAAACGCCAGCUGAAUAGUUCCAAAGAUCAUAAAUGGCAACUCUGAGCAGAGAUGUUCAGAGUUGCCUCCAAAAUUCAAGCACCAAUUGGUAGGAGAGCGUUCCAUUCGCAGCGAAGCCAAAGGCGUGAGCCAUGGUGGAGCGUAUGGAAGUGAGAAUGUUGGCACAAGUAACCACAACUCGGGUGAAAGACCCGAGCACCGUAAGCCUAAGGUUUCCUUGGCAAUGAUUGUCAGCCAAGGGUUAGUCGGUCCUAAGUCGAUGACGAAAGUCGCAGAUGAAGGGCACACGGUUAAUAUUCCGUGACUUCCUUAUUUUUUGAUGAAGGGACGAAGAUUAGUAUGCUCUGCGCGUUAUUGGAUUCGCGUUUGGAGAGGGAGGGGUGAGUGUAGGAAAAUCCGCACUCGGCCUUUUGGCAACUCUUAUCUCUUUGAAAAUUCUCUCCUUCGGGAUGGGAAAUAGAGCAAAGCAGUCUUCCAAGAAAAUCUUCUAAAAUUAUGAAUAGGGAAACCGUACCGAAAACCGACACAGGUGGGCGAGGCGAGUAGCCUCAGGUGAACGAGUGAGAGAUCCUCAAGGAACUCGGCAAAAAAGCGGCCGUAACUUCGGGAUAAGGCCUCCCCGUUAGAUAGCGCGCAAGCGCCCAUCUAAUGGGGCGCAGCGAAAGUACCCCUGGCGACUGUUUAUCAAAAACACAGCUCCCUGCGAACACGUAAGUGGAUGUAUAGGGGGUGACGCCUGACCAAUGCGAGAAGGUUAACGAUGGCGGUGGUAUGUAGCAAUAUGUACUGCUGACUGUCCGAAGCCCUCGUCAAUGUCGGCCGUAACUAUAACGGUCCUAAGGUAGCGCAAUUCCUUGUCGGGUGAGUUCCGACGCGCACGAAAGGCGUAACGACUGGGGGACUGUCUCGAGGAUUCGCUCGGUGAAAAUACAAUACCGGUGAAGAUGCCGGUUAGGUGCAGUUAGACGAAAAGACCCCGGAAGCUUUACUGCAACUUGAUAUUGGGUAUGAGUUUUUUAUGCGUAGCGUAGUGGGUAGCCUUUGAAAUCAUGGUCUCGGCUGUGAUGGAGGCGCCAAUGAAACACCCACCUUAAAGAAUUUAUAUUCUAACCUCGACGGAGAAAACGUUUGGGGACAGUGUCUGGUGGGCAGUUUGUGUGGGGCGCAACCCUCCUAAAAAGUAACGGAGGGGUUUAUCAAGGUNNNNNNNNNNNNNNNNNNNNNNNNNNNNNNNNNNNAAGAGGAAAAGCCGGCUUAACUGCGAGACGGUCAGGUCGAGCAGAUGCGAAAGCAGAAUCUAGUGAACCGACCAUUGUGUGUAGGACACGUGGAAGAUUAACGGAUAAAAGCUACUCCGGGGAUAACAGGCUAGUUCCGCCCGAGCGUCCAUAGCGACGGCGGAGUUCGGCACCUCGAUGUCGGCUCAUCUCAUCCUGGGGGUGAAGAAGCUCCCAAGGGUUUGGCUGUUCGCCAAUUAAAGAGGUACGUGAGCUGGGUUCAAACCGUCGUGAGACAGGUUGGUCUCCUAUCUACUGCAUCCGUUGAUUAUUGAGGGGGCUUCUCUCUAGUACGAGAGGACCGAGAGGAGGCGACCUCU
rfam:Candidatus Giovannonibacteria bacterium RIFCSPLOWO2_12_43_8 rifcsplowo2_12_sub10_scaffold_1369, whole genome shotgun sequence.